rnacentral:rRNA from 1 species
GACGAACGCUGGCGGCGUGCUUAACACAUGCAAGUCGAACGGAAAGGCCCUGCUUUUGUGGGGUGCUCGAGUGGCGAACGGGUGAGUAACACGUGAGUAACCUGCCCUUGACUUUGGGAUAACUUCAGGAAACUGGGGCUAAUACCGGAUAGGAGCUCCUGCUGCAUGGUGGGGGUUGGAAAGUUUCGGCGGUUGGGGAUGGACUCGCGGCUUAUCAGCUUGUUGGUGGGGUAGUGGCUUACCAAGGCUUUGACGGGUAGCCGGCCUGAGAGGGUGACCGGCCACAUUGGGACUGAGAUACGGCCCAGACUCCUACGGGAGGCAGCAGUGGGGAAUAUUGCACAAUGGGCGGAAGCCUGAUGCAGCAACGCCGCGUGCGGGAUGACGGCCUUCGGGUUGUAAACCGCUUUCGCCUGUGACGAAGCGUGAGUGACGGUAAUGGGUAAAGAAGCACCGGCUAACUACGUGCCAGCAGCCGCGGUGAUACGUAGGGUGCGAGCGUUGUCCGGAUUUAUUGGGCGUAAAGGGCUCGUAGGUGGUUGAUCGCGUCGGAAGUGUAAUCUUGGGGCUUAACCCUGAGCGUGCUUUCGAUACGGGUUGACUUGAGGAAGGUAGGGGAGAAUGGAAUUCCUGGUGGAGCGGUGGAAUGCGCAGAUAUCAGGAGGGACACCAGUGGCGAAGGCGGUUCUCUGGGCCUUUCCUGACGCUGAGGAGCGAAAGCGUGGGGAGCGAACAGGCUUAGAUACCCUGGUAGUCCACGCUGUAAACGGUGGGUACUAGGUGUGGGGUCCAUUCCACGGGUUCCGUGCCGUAGCUAACGCUUUAAGUACCCCGCCUGGGGAGUACGGCUGCAAGGCUAAAACUCAAAGGAAUUGACGGGGCCCCGCACAAGCGGCGGAGCAUGCGGAUUAAUUCGAUGCAACGCGUAGAACCUUACCUGGGUUUGACAUGGAUCGGGAGUGCUCAGAGAUGGGUGUGCCUCUUUUGGGGUCGGUUCACAGGUGGUGCAUGGCUGUCGUCAGCUCGUGUCGUGAGAUGUUGGGUUAAGUCCCGCAACGAGCGCAACCCUUGUUCACUGUUGCCAGCACGUUAUGGUGGGGACUCAGUGGAGACCGCCGGGGUCAACUCGGAGGAAGGUGGGGAUGACGUCAAGUCAUCAUGCCCCUUAUGUCCAGGGCUUCACGCAUGCUACAAUGGCUGGUACAGAGAGUGGCGAGCCUGUGAGGGUGAGCGAAUCUCGGAAAGCCGGUCUCAGUUCGGAUUGGGGUCUGCAACUCGACCUCAUGAAGUCGGAGUCGCUAGUAAUCGCAGAUCAGCAACGCUGCGGUGAAUACGUUCCCGGGGCU